UCCAACGCCGGUUUUCUCCGCCAGAGGCGAACUCAGUUUCCCAAGUGGCGCUGCGGAAGGCAGUCCGAAGUUGGACUUUCCCGGCCUACCCAAGGGUUUGAACCCGGCGGCGGCAGUAGACGCUGGGACAGGUUCGGCGUGAUGGCGUCAGUGUCCUGUAUCUGGAGAGGUCUCGACCAAGACUCGGCACUUUCAACCCUUACCUGAUGUCUGCAUAUCUGGGUAUCCUGCUUUUCCCCCAGAUCCCCAAGAACGCCUCUCCCCUGACUAGUCCCAGAGGCUCAGUUUUGGUCUGAUAGUGCAUCCCUACCCUUAGUAUUGCAUCUCUACUCCCCGUUUUCCAUCUGACGUUGCGGUCUUUUCUGGGCCGUGCCUCGGGUGCCUCGGGCUGGGAUAGUGAGGGCACAAGACGCCGGGGAGCCAGACCCCUGCCGCAGGCUAUGAGUAGGGGCCUGAGCUGGUCUGAGCAGCUCGACGCGCUUCUCAGUGCGACUGACGGAAAUGUGGCCAGGAUUAAGCAGCGGCUGUAUCCCCUUGGGGUCUCUACCUCAGCAGGAGAUCUGACUGGGACUCGGACUUCCCCUCAUCACUUGCCUCCCCAGUCAGGAGUCCAAGCACAAAAGCCUUGGGGUCUAGAGACUCCCAUUGUCCCAGAGAGGCCGAGUUGGGCUGAGGCCCAUAGUGCAUCUUCUCUCUGGGAUGAAGUUACUGUUCUCCGAUCCCAGCUUCAAUCCCAGGCUAAGGUGACUGAGGCUCUAAGGCAGGCUGUGCAGGGUCUGCUGGAAGAGCGAGAGCAGCAGAAGUACCAGAUCUGUACCCUGGAAGCAUCACUAAGGUUGCUGCAGAAGGGCCCAGAGCAGAGAGUCCUUCUCCUGGAGCAACGCCUGGAGGGGCUAAGAAGGGAACUACAGGGCCUUCGAAGCCAGGUGCAGGAACAGGCCCAAACCCAAAUACAGACGGGACCACGAAAGUGCAGUGCUACCAGUGGCCUUCACCAAGAGCUGCAGAAUGAGCGGCAACUGCUGUGGGAGGAGUCAGAGAUUGUGUGGGAGGAAUUGAAGUUGCUGCGGAACCAGCUGAGCCAGCACCAGGAGCUGCUGCUGAAACAGAUGGCUCAGGGGCGGCAAACUCAGGCCCGUGGCUGGAAGGACCUCUGUUCACGUCCUCCAAUAUGAGCUGCCCCUGGCUGCCACCUUCGCCAUGUCUCUUUCUUCAUCUAGCUCUGAAGUCAGUCUUCGGGACAGUAGCUGGGAAGUUUUAAGGAAGCUAGGUGGGGAUCUCCAGGGGAACACCCUUUCUAAACCAGAGCCCAGCAACUUUCAGCUCCAGGCCCAUAGCCUUGAGCAGAAGGACCUAUCCUUUAAGGACCCCAAGAUGCUCCUGAGUGACCUGUAAGAACUUGUAAGACUAGUAGGAUGAAGUCUUCUUUGCUCCCUUUCUCUUCCACGGCCCUCUUUCUGGCCCCCCUGCCCCUCCCCUCUUAAUCUCCCCUCCCUACUGGGACUUGUCACUGCCUGCCCAUCCCUGCCCACUAAUUUCAAUAAAAUAAAAUGGUUUAACCCUC